rnacentral:snRNA from 1 species
CCUAUGUUUCUACCAUCCGAU